CCCUUAGAUGUUCUGGGCCGCACGCGCGCUACACUGAUGAAUUCAACUAGCUCCUAACCUAGGCCGAAGGGUCCGGGUAAUCUUUGAAAUUUCAUCGUGAUGGGGAUAGAUUAUUGCAAUUAUUAAUCUUCAACGAGGAAUUCCUAGUAAGCGCGAGUCAUCAGCUCGCGUUGAUUACGUCCCUGCCCUUUGUACACACCGCCCGUCGCUCCUACCGAUUGAAUGGUCCGGUGAAAUGUUCGGACCGCGACAAGGCGGACGGUUCGCUGUCAGCUUUGCUGCGGGAAGUUCAUUAAACCUUAUCAUUUAGAGGAAGGAGAAGUCGUAACA
rnacentral:rRNA from 1 species